rnacentral:rRNA from 1 species
AACUUGUUUUAUUUUUUGA